UACCUGGUCCCGGGUCCCGCGUUUUAC
rnacentral:sRNA from 1 species